AGCGCCAGCACGCCGGGGUGCGCCGCGCCGCGCCGCCAGGGGGCGCCAUAACGCGCGGCCCCGUAACGCGCGACCCCGCUGAGGGUUUCCUGUGGUGAUUGAGGUUCGCGUUAGGGGGUGAGGGAGAGCUGGGCCCGGUUAGGGCGUGAGGUUCUGGGGUGGCUCUCAGCUGUUCCUGGGACGUCACCUGUUGUCACAGAGAGGCUCAGAGCUUCCCGGGCAGCCCCUGGGGGAGGUGGAGCAGCUUCUGGGAUGCGGUGACCCACGGGUGCUUGCCCCGCGCCUCCUUUAUGCAGCACGUUCCCUUGGAUCCCUCUGAGGGGAGGCCAAAGUGGCUUAAAAACAAAAUUCACCCCGUGAGGGCCGAUGCAAGACGUGGACCCCAAAGCCAGUGCAGGUGGGGCCUGAGGUCUGCACUAGCAAUCACUCGCUCUGAGUAGAAAGAAAGAGAAUUCUUGCAGAGAGCGGAGAAAGGAAGCAGGAGCACUUCUCUGAUUAUUUCCCUAUUUUCCUAUUGAAAUAUUUGUGCAGCUUACGGGGAGGCAUCCAGGGGGACCGAGCUGUUGCUGGAGGGAACCUCUGACUCCCACUUGCCUCAUCACUUUGGGAAGCAGCAACAGCUGUGUCCAGAAUGCCAUGAGGAAACAAUUCUUGGUGCACGCUAUCCCAGGCCGUGCCAGUUGGUGAGAUGAAAGCCAUGCCACACAGAAAAUAUAUGAAUGUGUGCUGUGAUUCUUCACUGCUGGUAAAAAUGUUGGGGUGAUAUGCAGGGUAUGAAGGACUAUACCAUCCCAAAAAUAUCUUCAGAGAAAAGCUCGAUGCCACCAAUGGGUACUAGUGAUAUAUCCAAAAAGUUCAUCUGCAAACCAAGAACUUUGCAGAUCACAGCCCUGGGCCAUUCAGUUUAUGUUCCUUCUUUAAUGAUGUAAGCAUUAGUGUUUGCUGUGGGGAGAAAAAGGGGAAGACACUUGGCUUUUACCUAACUGCUGCUAUUUUGGGCUGUGCUAAGGUUGCUACAGGAUGUGAACGCAUAUCCCAGAGCACUAACCCAAUUCUUGUGUUACUAAGUAAGCUCUGUCUAACCUGAAGUUCUCCCAUGCCUUCUGUUUGAUAUAAUAUCCUUUCUUGCUUCCUGCCCUUAACUGUAGUAUAAGGUUGAGUGCUGUGAGACAUCUGUCAAGCUUUCUCUCUCAUAGCGAUGGCUGUGUAUUGAAGGUGGGUGAAAUCAUUCCUAUACUUAGUUUGCAAAUAGUAAAGGAGUGAUGCCAUCUCAGCGUAAAGAAAAGAAACCAAUUAUUUGCUCAGAAAAUGGUUGCUGCUUCACAGCAGGAUGCUGGAGCCGCUCAUGGACUUGCAUGCAAUUUCAGCACACAGACGCAAGCUGCGAGGCUGCAGCAUCCCAUAAUAGCUGCUGCUCAUCCUCUUCUACCUCUCCUGUUGUAUGAAAUGCCCCCUGACUGGUAGAACCAUCCACUCUGCAGGGCAGGUGCUGGGACCUGCUAUAGGAAAGUCCUCCCAGCAAGCAAUCUUUCUGGCUCAAUGGGUUUUUGACAUGUUCCUCUGCCCUGGCUCAAAAGUGUUUCCAGCAAAGAGCAGCUGACAUCUCCUGCCCCCACCAUAGAUUUCACCCCCGGAUCCAAGCAAUCCCACAAUUUUGGGUUUAUAUCCCUUCAGGCUGAGCAGAUCUUGGGCUCCAAUCCAGACUUGGUGCGUGGAUGUUCCUAGCUUCUAUUCCAGCAUAAAAAGUAGGUGGCCGUAGCAGCAGCUGUGUUUUAGGAGGAAGAGGUGAGUUUGGCACUUGAAGAUAAAAUCCAUGGGCCUCAUCUUAGAGGAGAGGUCUGAGUGUUAAGACCAAGAGCAGAGCUUUGGCACUCUUCAUGCAUCAUAGCCUUUUGACCAUAUGGGAAUGCUGCAACAUCUCAUCCUGGGGAGGAGAGAGAAUUGCUCUGGGAUGGGGUCACAUGCAACGCAAGCCCCCAGCCCUCACUGUGACCAUCAGCUUCAGCGCUGCAUUUAUCUGUCUACCAAAAGAAGGGAGUUUGCAAAUCAUAGAAUCAAGAGAAUGGUUUGGGUUGGAAGGGACCUUAAGGCCCAUCCAGUUCCAACCCUCCUGCUGUGGGCAGGGACUCCUUCCACUAAAUCAGGUUGUCCAGGGUCCCAUCCAGGCUGGCCUUGAAUUAUGCAAAGAAACGUGAUGUUAAGAAACCCAAACCCUGAAGGCUGAGUGUGACAGCAGCAUGCAGUGGCAGCAAUGACAAUCAACCAGAAGGCACAGGUUUUAACACUUCAUUCAUCCAGUCGGGUGUGGCUACAGCGAGAUUAAGUUGCAUGGAUGAUUUUCUUUUCCUAGCAGUAUUCACAUGCGCUUUCGUGGCUGAAUGCAACUUUCCAUGCUGCCUUUGUUCCAUGACUCACCUUCUCUGCUCAAAUGAAGGGAUAAACAUCUUCAAAAAUUACGAAGUGAAAGUGAAGAGGAUCUGCUUUCAGUUCUUAAGGGAACAUAAUUGGCAAGUGUUUGUCAGCAAUGCUUUCAGCGUGUGCAUGGACAUUGAAACUUGUGUCCUCCAAGCAGUGUUUGCGAGGUGAUGCUGGUGAUAGAU